rnacentral:rRNA from 1 species
AUUGAACGCUGGCGGCAGGCCUAACACAUGCCAGUCGAGCGGAUGAAGGGAGCUUGCUCCUGGAUUCAGCGGCGGACGGGUGAGUAAUGCCUAGGAAUCUGCCUGGUAGUGGGGGAUAACGUCCGGAAACGGGCGCUAAUACCGCAUACGUCCUGAGGGAGAAAGUGGGGGAUCUUCGGACCUCACGCUAUCAGAUGAGCCUAGGUCGGAUUAGCUAGUUGGUGGGGUAAAGGCCUACCAAGGCGACGAUCCGUAACUGGUCUGAGAGGAUGAUCAGUCACACUGGAACUGAGACACGGUCCAGACUCCUACGGGAGGCAGCAGUGGGGAAUAUUGGACAAUGGGCGAAAGCCUGAUCCAGCCAUGCCGCGUGUGUGAAGAAGGUCUUCGGAUUGUAAAGCACUUUAAGUUGGGAGGAAGGGCAGUAAGUUAAUACCUUGCCGUUUUGACGUUACCAACAGAAUAAGCACCGGCUAACUUCGUG